ACUGUCAAUGACGACAAUUUAUCCCCCUUGCUUGAGUUUAACGACCAUGAAAAAACUCACAUGCACUACCAUCUGAGACGGG
rnacentral:snoRNA from 1 species